rnacentral:tRNA from 1 species
GGUGGUGGCUCAGUGGUAGAGUGCUUGCCUAGCAUGCACAAGGCACUGGGUUUGAUUCUCAGCACCA